GAUGAACGCUGGCGGCGUGCCUAAUACAUGCAAGUCGAGCGAACGGACGAGAAGCUUGCUUCUCUGAUGUUAGCGGCGGACGGGUGAGUAACACGUGGAUAACCUACCUAUAAGACUGGGAUAACUUCGGGAAACCGGAGCUAAUACCGGAUGAUAUUUUGAACCGCAUGGUUCAAAAGUGAAAGACGGUCUUGCUGUCACUUAUAGAUGGAUCCGCGCUGCAUUAGCUAGUUGGUAAGGAAACGGCUUACCAAGGCAACGAUGCAUAGCCGACCUGAGAGGGUGAUCGGCCACACUGGAACUGAGACACGGUCCAGACUCCUACGGGAGGCAGCAGUAGGGAAUCUUCCGCAAUGGCGAAAGCCUGACGGAGCAACGCCGCGUGAGUGAUGAAGGUCUUCGGAUCGUAAAACUCUGUUAUUAGGGAAGAACAUAUGUGUAAGUAACUGUGCACAUCUUGACGGUACCUAAUCAGAAAGCCACGGCUAACUACGUG
rnacentral:rRNA from 1 species